AGACCCGAAACCCGGUGAUCUAGCCAUGGGCAGGUUGAAGGUUGGGUAACACUAACUGGAGGACCGAACCGACUAAUGUUGAAAAAUUAGCGGAUGACCUGUGGCUGGGGGUGAAAGGCCAAUCAAACCGGGAGAUAGCUGGUUCUCCCCGAAAGCUAUUUAGGUAGCGCCUCGUGAAUUCAUCUCCGGGGGUAGAGCACUGUUUCGGCUAGGGGGCCAUCCCGGCUUACCAACCCGAUGCAAACUGCGAAUACCGGAGAAUGUUAUCACGGGAGACACACGGCGGGUGCUAACGUCCGUCGUGAAGAGGGAAACAACCCAGACCGCCAGCUAAGGUCCCAAAGUCAUGGUUAAGUGGGAAACGAUGUGGGAAGGCCCAGACAGCCAGGAUGUUGGCUUAGAAGCAGCCAUCAUUUAAAGAAAGCGUAAUAGCUCACUGGUCGAGUCGGCCUGCGCGGAAGAUGUAACGGGGCUAAACCAUGCACCGAAGCUGCGGCAGCGAACGUAUCACCCAAGACAACUUUACGGAGUUGACGAUUGACGGAGCGAAGCGACGUCAAAGCGUUCAUUAAAGUCGAGUUGGCUUAGGGAUACGUUCGUUGGGUAGGGGAGCGUUCUGUAAGCCUGUGAAGGUGUGUCGUGAGGCAUGCUGGAGGUAUCAGAAGUGCGAAUGCUGACAUAAGUAACGAUAAAGCGGGUGAAAAGCCCGCUCGCCGGAAGACCAAGGGUUCCUGUCCAACGUUAAUCGGGGCAGGGUGAGUCGACCCCUAAGGCGAGGCCGAAAGGCGUAGUCGAUGGGAAACGGGUUAAUAUUCCCGUACUUGGUGUUACUGCGAAGGGGGGACGGAGAAGGCUAUGUUGGCCGGGCGACGGUUGUCCCGGUUUAAGCGUGUAGGUGUGUGUUCCAGGUAAAUCCGGUUCACUUUAACACUGAGGCGUGAUGACGAGGCACUACGGUGCUGAAGCAACAAAUGCCCUGCUUCCAGGAAAAGCCUCUAAGCAUCAGG
rnacentral:rRNA from 1 species